GGGGGGUAGGUUUCUCCUAGCUCCCGCCCCCUUCUCCCUUCUCCUUCUCCCUUUUCUCUCUCCCUUACCUUUUCCGACAUGCAUUUCAUUAAAAUCCAUAAAACAUUCAGGAAGAGUUUCACUCAGAAGAUUAGUAAUGCCAUACUAUUAAAGUAACGAGUAUCUCCCCUUUAACAUUUAGAACUUUCUCAUGUAAAUAUUUUUUCAAUAUUCAUCCAGUUGUUCAGGAGUAGAUGCGCUUAAAAGAGAUACAUUAAUAGACAGAUAGGGUGCAAUAUGCCUGCAAAGUGAUCAGAUGCAUACAAAUUCCCAUCUAGGAGGGACAUUCCAAUGCAACCUCCCAAAUUUUCGAUAUUUGACAAAUUUUAAUCGGAAAUAGUCCCUGUCAAGGACGGCAGUAAAAAUCGUGAAUGUGUGACCCCAGCUUAACUCUGAUGCACGCCGUUUCCCGAUUAAUUUUAAAUUUCAAAUCAGAGAAGUAGCACUUGAAUUUAUAUUGGUACGUCAAGAAAUAUUAUGGGUCGCAAAGCGACUCAUCCCACCUCGUUGAGGCGGAUAUUCAGCAGGGGUUUGGAGCGCUAAAGGGCCUGAGAAAUUUUGGGAUAAAUGGUGCAAAAUCCUGCAUUCUGACCCUCUCCUGACACUUAAAUUUCGCUUAUGAAAACAUAAUUUUUUAGUAACAAUUUGAGUUAUCUCACUUUUUUGAAAGUCAAAUUCAAAACAUAGAAAAAAGAAAAGAAUUUGAAAAAUGAAAUGUGUCAAAAAGUCAACAAUCCAAAUGGAUACAAAAAGUGGAAUAUCUUGGCUUAAAUUUAUACUUCCAACUUUGUGUCGGAUGCCAUUCAAUGUGUCUUGGCAUACAGGGGACUUUUCAUAGUGGUACGUAUAAUACAUUUCGUUGCCGAGCGUAGCAGGGUGAAUUUUUUUUAGGACCUUUUUUUUGUUCAAAAACAUAUAAUAAGUGUAAAAUGCACUAAUUUAAUAGUUCUUGACGGGAGGCUUGUAUAUAAAUAAAGAGUAAGGAUUAAACAUUUUUGAUGCCGUAUUCUACCCCAUUAAAUUUCUAUUAUAAAUUGAUUGGAUGGAUCCAAAGCUAGAAUUUCUUAUUGACAUUUAUUUGGAGGUUUCUAGUGAUGACUUCUGUACACAUCAUUCGUCAAAGACAUAUGGUUCAACUUCACCAGAAGCAUAUUCCUCUGAUUUUGUCGAGAAAAUCGUCAAUGAUUCUGUC
rnacentral:lncRNA from 1 species